CGGUGAAUACGUUCCCGGACCUUGCACACACCGCCCGUCAAGCCACGGAAGCCGGGUGUACCUAAAGUCGGUAACCGCAAGGAGCUGCCUAGGGUAAAAUCGGUGACUGGGGCU
rnacentral:rRNA from 1 species